UACGUAGGGACCAAGCGUUGUUCGGAUUUACUGGGCGUAAAGGGCGCGUAGGCGGCAAUUCAAGUCAUCUGUGAAAUCUCCGGGCUUAACUCGGAACGGUCAGUUGAUACUGUCAGGCUAGAGUGCAGAAAGGGCAAUCGGAAUUCUUGGUGUAGCGGUGAAAUGCGUAGAUAUCAAGAGGAACACCUGAGGCGAAGGCGGGUUGCUAGGCUGACACUGACGCUGAGGCGCGAAAGCCAGGGGAGCAAACGGG
rnacentral:rRNA from 1 species